rnacentral:rRNA from 1 species
UGGUGCUUGCACCACCUGAUUAGUGGCGAACGGGUGAGUAACACGUGAGUAACCUGCCCCCCACUUCGGGAUAACCUCGGGAAAUCGUGGCUAAUACCGGAUACGAGCACUCAUCGCAUGGUGGGUGCUGGAAAGAUUUAUCGGUGGGGGAUGGACUCGCGGCCUAUCAGUUUGUUGGUGAGGUGAUGGCUCACCAAGACGAUGACGGGUAGCCGGCCUGAGAGGGCGACCGGCCACACUGGGACUGAGACACGGCCCAGACUCCUACGGGAGGCAGCAGUGGGGAAUAUUGCACAAUGGGCGAAAGCCUGAUGCAGCGACGCCGCGUGGGGGAUGACGGCCUUCGGGUUGUAAACCCCUUUCAGUAGGGAAGAAGCGAGAGUGACGGUACCUGCAGAAGAAGCGCCGGCUAACUACGUGCCAGCAGCCGCGGUAAUACGUAGGGCGCAAGCGUUGUCCGGAAUUAUUGGGCGUAAAGAGCUUGUAGGUGGCUUGUCGCGUCUGCCGUGAAAACCCGAGGCUCAACCUCGGGCGUGCGGUGGGUACGGGCAGGCUAGAGUGUGGUAUGGGAGACUGGAACUCCUGGUGUAGCGGUGAAAUGCGCAGAUAUCACGAAGAACACCGAUGGCGAAAGCAGGUCUCUGGGCCAUUACUGACACUGAGAAGCGAAAGCAUGGGUAG